rnacentral:rRNA from 1 species
UACGGAGGGUGCAAGCGUUGUUCGGAAUCACUGGGCGUAAAGGGCGUGUAGGCGGCCCGCUAAGUCUGAUGUGAAAUCCCCUCGCUCAACGAGGGAACUGCGUCGGAAACUGGCGGACUCGAGUACCGGAGAGGAAGGUGGAAUUCCCGGUGUAGCGGUGAAAUGCGUAGAUAUCAGGAGGAACACCGGUGGUGUAGACGGCUCACUGGACCGUAACUGACGCUGAGACACGAAAGCGUGGGUAGCAAACAGG